GAUGAAGAACGCAGCGAAAUGCGAUAAGUAAUGUGAAUUGCAGAAUUCAGUGAAUCAUCGAAUCUUUGAACGCACAUUGCGCCCCCUGUAUUCCGGGGGGCAUGCCUGUCCGAGCGUCAUUACAACCCUCAAGCUCAGCUUGGUGUUGGGCCCCGCCGCCCCGGCGGGCCCUAAAGUCAGUGGCGGUGCCGUCCGGCUCCGAGCGUAGUAAUUCUUCUCGCUCUGGAGGUCCGGUCGUGUGCUCGCCAGCAACCCCCAAUUUUUUUCAGGUUGACCUCGGAUCAGGUAGGGAUACCCGCUGAACUUAAGCAUAUCAAUAAGCGGAGGA
rnacentral:misc_RNA from 1 species